rnacentral:rRNA from 1 species
UAAUAGUGUAUAUUAAAGUUGUUGCAGUUAAAAAGCUCGUAGUUGAAUGUUGGUGUCGAACGAGCGGUCAGCUUCGGCUGUACUGCUCUCUCGACUCCUUCCUUCUGUGGACUACGUCGCACUUUACUGUGUGGCGCUAGGACGCAGAUCGUUUACUGUGAAAAAAUUAGAGUGUUCAAAGCAGGCCGUACGCUUGAAUACAUUAGCAUGGAAUAAUGGAAUAGGACGUCGGGCCUAUUUUGUUGGUUCUAGGACCGUCGUAAUGAUUAAUAGGGACAGUUGGGGCCGUUUAUAUUCCGUAGUCAGAGGUGAAAUUCUUGGAUUUAUGAAAGACGAACUUCUGCGAAAGCAUUUGUCAAGGAUGUUUUCAUUAA